UUUCUCUCCAGAUCAUAUAAAUCUUUCACCUUUUACUAAAGAUUUCCUUGGGGUGGAA
rnacentral:snRNA from 1 species